AGAGGCGAUGAAGGACGUGCUAAUCUGCGAUAAGCGUCGGUAAGGUGAUAUGAACCGUUAUAACCGGCGAUUUCCGAAUGGGGAAACCCAGUGUGUUUCGACACACUAUCAUUAACUGAAUCCAUAGGUUAAUGAGGCGAACCGGGGGAACUGAAACAUCUAAGUACCCCGAGGAAAAGAAAUCAACCGAGAUUCCCCCAGUAGCGGCGAGCGAACGGGGAGCAGCCCAGAGCCUGAAUCAGUGUGUGUGUUAGUGGAAGCGUCUGGAAAGGCGCGCGAUACAGGGUGACAGCCCCGUACACAAAAAUGCACAUACUGUGAGCUCGAUGAGUAGGGCGGGACACGUGGUAUCCUGUCUGAAUAUGGGGGGACCAUCCUCCAAGGCUAAAUACUCCUGACUGACCGAUAGUGAACCAGUACCGUGAGGGAAAGGCGAAAAGAACCCCGGCGAGGGGAGUGAAAAAGAACCUGAAACCGUGUACGUACAAGCAGUGGGAGCACGCUUAGGCGUGUGACUGCGUACCUUUUGUAUAAUGGGUCAGCGACUUAUAUUCUGUAGCAAGGUUAACCGAAUAGGGGAGCCGAAGGGAAACCGAGUCUUAACUGGGCGUUAAGUUGCAGGGUAUAGACCCGAAACCCGGUGAUCUAGCCAUGGGCAGGUUGAAGGUUGGGUAACACUAACUGGAGGACCGAACCGACUAAUGUUGAAAAAUUAGCGGAUGACUUGUGGCUGGGGGUGAAAGGCCAAUCAAACCGGGAGAUAGCUGGUUCUCCCCGAAAGCUAUUUAGGUAGCGCCUCGUGAAUUCAUCUCCGGGGGUAGAGCACUGUUUCGGCAAGGGGGUCAUCCCGACUUACCAACCCGAUGCAAACUGCGAAUACCGGAGAAUGUUAUCACGGGAGACACACGGCGGGUGCUAACGUCCGUCGUGAAGAGGGAAACAACCCAGACCGCCAGCUAAGGUCCCAAAGUCAUGGUUAAGUGGGAAACGAUGUGGGAAGGCCCAGACAGCCAGGAUGUUGGCUUAGAAGCAGCCAUCAUUUAAAGAAAGCGUAAUAGCUCACUGGUCGAGUCGGCCUGCGCGGAAGAUGUAACGGGGCUAAACCAUGCACCGAAGCUGCGGCAGCGACGCUUAUGCGUUGUUGGGUAGGGGAGCGUUCUGUAAGCCUGCGAAGGUGUGCUGUGAGGCAUGCUGGAGGUAUCAGAAGUGCGAAUGCUGACAUAAGUAACGAUAAAGCGGGUGAAAAGCCCGCUCGCCGGAAGACCAAGGGUUCCUGUCCAACGUUAAUCGGGGCAGGGUGAGUCGACCCCUAAGGCGAGGCCGAAAGGCGUAGUCGAUGGGAAACAGGUUAAUAUUCCUGUACUUGGUGUUACUGCGAAGGGGGGACGGAGAAGGCUAUGUUGGCCGGGCGACGGUUGUCCCGGUUUAAGCGUGUAGGCUGGUUUUCCAGGCAAAUCCGGAAAAUCAAGGCUGAGGCGUGAUGACGAGGCACUACGGUGCUGAAGCAACAAAUGCCCUGCUUCCAGGAAAAGCCUCUAAGCAUCAGGUAACAUCAAAUCGUACCCCAAACCGACACAGGUGGUCAGGUAGAGAAUACCAAGGCGCUUGAGAGAACUCGGGUGAAGGAACUAGGCAAAAUGGUGCCGUAACUUCGGGAGAAGGCACGCUGAUAUGUAGGUGAAGUCCCUCGCGGAUGGAGCUGAAAUCAGUCGAAGAUACCAGCUGGCUGCAACUGUUUAUUAAAAACACAGCACUGUGCAAACACGAAAGUGGACGUAUACGGUGUGACGCCUGCCCGGUGCCGGAAGGUUAAUUGAUGGGGUUAGCGCAAGCGAAGCUCUUGAUCGAAGCCCCGGUAAACGGCGGCCGUAACUAUAACGGUCCUAAGGUAGCGAAAUUCCUUGUCGGGUAAGUUCCGACCUGCACGAAUGGCGUAAUGAUGGCCAGGCUGUCUCCACCCGAGACUCAGUGAAAUUGAACUCGCUGUGAAGAUGCAGUGUACCCGCGGCAAGACGGAAAGACCCCGUGAACCUUUACUAUAGCUUGACACUGAACAUUGAGCCUUGAUGUGUAGGAUAGGUGGGAGGCUUUGAAGUGUGGACGCCAGUCUGCAUGGAGCCGACCUUGAAAUACCACCCUUUAAUGUUUGAUGUUCUAACGUUGACCCGUAAUCCGGGUUGCGGACAGUGUCUGGUGGGUAGUUUGACUGGGGCGGUCUCCUCCUAAAGAGUAACGGAGGAGCACGAAGGUUGGCUAAUCCUGGUCGGACAUCAGGAGGUUAGUGCAAUGGCAUAAGCCAGCUUGACUGCGAGCGUGACGGCGCGAGCAGGUGCGAAAGCAGGUCAUAGUGAUCCGGUGGUUCUGAAUGGAAGGGCCAUCGCUCAACGGAUAAAAGGUACUCCGGGGAUAACAGGCUGAUACCGCCCAAGAGUUCAUAUCGACGGCGGUGUUUGGCACCUCGAUGUCGGCUCAUCACAUCCUGGGGCUGAAGUAGGUCCCAAGGGUAUGGCUGUUCGCCAUUUAAAGUGGUACGCGAGCUGGGUUUAGAACGUCGUGAGACAGUUCGGUCCCUAUCUGCCGUGGGCGCUGGAGAACUGAGGGGGGCUGCUCCUAGUACGAGAGGACCGGAGUGGACGCAUCACUGGUGUUCGGGUUGUCAUGCCAAUGGCACUGCCCGGUAGCUAAAUGCGGAAGAGAUAAGUGCUGAAAGCAUCUAAGCACGAAACUUGCCCCGAGAUGAGUUCUCCCUGACUCCUUGAGAGUCCUGAAGGAACGUUGAAGACGACGACGUUGAUAGGCCGGGUGUGUAAGCGCAGCGAUGCGUUGAGCUAACCGGUACUAAUGAACCGUGAGGCUUAACCUU
rnacentral:rRNA from 1 species